CUUGGUCAUUUAGAGGAAGUAAAAGUCGUAACAAGGUUUCCGUAGGUGAACCUGCGGAAGGAUCAUUAGUGAACGCCCUCACGGGCUUAUAACUAUUCCAAACCUCUGUGAACCGUGCCCUUCGGGGCUAUUUUACAAACAUGGUGUAAUGAACGUCAUAUAUCAUAACAAAACAAAACUUUCAACAACGGGUCUCUUGGCUCUCGCAUCGAUGAAGAACGCAGCGAAAUGCGAUAAGUAAUGUGAAUUGCAGGAUUCAGUGAAUCAUCGAAUCUUUGAACGCACCUUGCGCCCUCUGGUAUUCCGGAGGGCAUGCCUGUUUGAGUGUCAUGUAGACUCAAUCCCUCGGGUUUCCGAGGAGAUUGGACUUGGGUGUUGCCGCUCUGCCGGCUCGCCUUAAAAGACUUAGCGGGAUAGCACCGUAGUCGGCGUAAUAAGUUUCGUCGGUGAAGGUUGUGAUGACUGCUUACAAUCGCCCUCGGGCAAUUUUUGACUCUGACCUCAAAUCAGGUAGGACUACCCGCUGAACUUAAGCAUAUCAAUAAGCGGAGGA
rnacentral:rRNA from 1 species